rnacentral:misc_RNA from 1 species
UGCGGAAGGAUCAUUACUGAUUUGCUUAAUUGCACCACAUGUGUUUUUCUUUGAAACAAACUUGCUUUGGCGGUGGGCCCAGCCUGCCGCCAGAGGUCUAAACUUACAACCAAUUUUUUAUCAACUUGUCACACCAGAUUAUUACUAAUAGUCAAAACUUUCAACAACGGAUCUCUUGGUUCUCGCAUCGAUGAAGAACGCAGCGAAAUGCGAUACGUAAUAUGAAUUGCAGAUAUUCGUGAAUCAUCGAAUCUUUGAACGCACAUUGCGCCCUCUGGUAUUCCGGAGGGCAUGCCUGUUUGAGCGUCGUUUCUCCCUCAAACCGCUGGGUUUGGUGUUGAGCAAUACGACUUGGGUUUGCUUGAAAGACGGUAGUGGUAAGGCGGGAUCGCUUUGACAAUGGCUUAGGUCUAACCAAAAACAUUGCUUGCGGCGGCAACGUCUACCACGUAUAUCUUCAAACUUUGACCUCAAAUCAGGUAGG